CAUCAUUCGAUCAUGGUGUUUCAAACGUGUGUCAGUGUUGUUUGGGAAAUGUAACUCAGAUCAUGGCGCGAAAACUUUUCAUUGAUGCGCCGCCAUUACUGAAAA